CCCGGCUCCUGUCCCGGGCCCUCCCCCUGGCCGGCAGAGGGAAGGAGCUUUCUACUUCCCCUGCAUGACCAGGGACAGGGGAACUGAGCAGGAGCGGGGAGAGGAGGAGGGAGCCCACAGAUGAGGAGCUGGAAGGGCCAGGGCCGGGAGCGGCCUGGUGUCACCCUGUUACAUGCUCGCACCACGCCCUUGCGGCAGCGGGAUAGCCUCCAUGCUGUAAAUGAGGAAACUGAGGCCCAGAGAAGCGGUCACUGUCCAGACGGGAUUUGAACCCAGAUCGGCCUUCAUCUAAAGCUCUUUUCCUCACCCUCAGUGUCUGCAGGGUCAACAGGAAUCACAACACAGAGCGCUAGCUCCCCGACUCCACAGGGUUCAAGUGUGAGCGAGAGGCACUGAAAGCGUGGAGGGUACAGGAAGAGUGAGACGGGGACGCUGUUGCUAGGGACCCAGCUCCCCGCUCCUGGAGGGACGGUAAGUCGAGGGAGCAGGCCAGCAGUCCAGGGAGCCGGGGGCAGCUCCGGGACUGGCCGUCCCUCACCUGAGAGGCGGCAGGCACAGCCCCUGUGGCUGCCAGCCGCCCCAUUCCAGACGAGAUCCAGUGAUCCCCCGUCCGCCCCCGAGGCCUCUGCCGAGGUUGGCAAACUGGUGCUGGCACCGGAAAGCGACAUUCCAGAGGCCCCCCACAAGUCCCUGCCAACCCCGGAUUCUUGGCAGAGCAGGAGAGCAGGGGCUUCUGGGAGACACAGGGCAGAGGCAUGGGGGAGAGGGUUGCGGUUUGGGAGGGGGCGAGGGGCCGACGAGCUGGAACACCUGUCUUCAGAAUGGGGGAGGAGCCAGGCUCCAGACGUGGCAGACCCCCACUCAUCCCGCAAGGAUUGUGCAUGUCUGGCCUGCUCACCCUGACCCCAACAGGAGCCUGGGCAGGGCCCACAGCGCAGCCUGCAGAUUGAGGGGACUGGGCUGAGGGCAGUGUCUCAGACACGGUGUUCUUGAAAAGACACUUUUCAGGUGGCAAAGUUCCUUUCACUACACACUAUAAAAGACUUUCCAGGCAGAGCUCCGACGUGCUGUAUGACUUUGGACAAGACACAUACCCUCUCUGGGCCUCAGAGAUGCAUGAGAGACCAAAGCAGGUAAAUCUUGAAGGUGUCCUCUAGCAAACAGUGUUUAUGAUCCUGAGGUGUCAUGACUUCAGACUCCUCCCUGCUCUCUGGCUGCCCCAUGUCUACAACGCAGCCAAGAGAUCCUUUUAAAUCUGCAAGUGGGGUCACGGCUCCUCUGCUCAUCCCCCGGGGGGAGGGGAAUGCCUGGCAGGGGGCAUGCCACCCCAGCUUCUGCCCUAUCUCGCCCCUGCCGCCUCCUGAGCCCUGCCUUCUCCCUCCCAGGAGUGGUCUCCUGACCUCCUGACUGCCCCAAACCAGACCUGUUUCUUCUCCCCGGGCAUCUGCUCCUGCCCCAACUCUGGCCCGAAGGGCUUGCCCCACCCAGAUCUUCGGAUAGUUCUUUCUGGUCAUCCAAGAGUCAGCUCAAACGUCACCUCUCAGAAAGGCCUUCCCUGACCCUUUCUCCAGAAGCCAGGGCCCUCCGCCCCACCUAGGUUUCAAGAUCACAUCUCUGAUUUAUUUUCUUCACAUGUCACAACCAAAACGAUGAUCUUGGUCCUUUCGUGUUGACUUGCUGACUGUCCUUCUUCCUCGAGACUGUCCACGCCGGGAGGGCAGGGUCAUGCUCUCCCCCGGGCUGGACCCAGGCACAGGGAGAGGACCAGAGAUGCUCAGAGCGAGGCUCCUGCUCUGCUUCCUCUGCCCAGCUCAGGGAGGGCCUUGGGAAUGAAGCCCCCGCCCCCACCCCGCCCCAUGUUCCAGUGCCCGGAACAGCGCCUGGCCAGCAGCGAACACCGG
rnacentral:lncRNA from 1 species